UACGUAGGGUGCAAGCGUGUCCGGAAUUAUUGGGCGUAAAGAGCUCGUAGGCGGUCUGUCGCGUCUGCUGUGAAAACUCAGGGCUUAACCCUGAGCUUGCAGUGGGUACGGGCAGACUAGAGUGCGGUAGGGGAGACUGGAAUUCCUGGUGUAGCGGUGAAAUGCGCAGAUAUCAGGAGGAACACCUGUGGCGAAAGCGGCCGCACU
rnacentral:rRNA from 1 species